UCCCAUCCCUCGAGGAAUUUAGGGUCUAGUUGGGGAGUGAUAUGGUGCUUGCUCUGAACUUGAACCUGAGACACCACUUUAAGGAAUCACCCGAAGCCCAGAGUAUUGGUGUCAUCUGUCACCUCUGCUCCUCAUUUCUUAUUCAUACUCUUAGCUUAGAACUGUGAGAUGUUAAAGCUGGCACACAUCUUAGAAAUCAAGCUGUCUGGGUCAAGAGCUGCUGUCUUUUUUCCUAAGUCUCUAGAAUAAACUGCCAGGUAUUUAUCUUAAAUUAACAAGACUUCUAGUUAUCCAGCAGGCCAAUGGCUCUACUUCAACAAACGACUGA
rnacentral:lncRNA from 1 species